GGAGCAAACUCUUAUUAUGUAAUCCUCACAAAAUACGUCAGCAGCUGAACAACGCUGAUUGGUUGGAUCGCCGAGUCGACUAUCUGUCUGUGUGUCUGCACCUAAUGGUUUCAGUUCUGAUUAAAAUAAAAAAUGCAGCAAAGAGGGUUUGGAUGAUCCUGGCACAGUCAGCUGCUGGUUAGGCUCGUCAUCAGCUCAGGGCCCUUGCUCCCUCUACAUGCAGUCCAAACAGAAAGGAUGUAUUCCUGGCAACAAAUCCGGAUACUCUCCAAAUGUCAGUCAACGGAUUGGGAGGUACCGAACCGAAGGCACCGAGAACAAUGGGGAGUCGGACAACUUGGUCCUUGGGAGGUACCGAACCGAAGGCACCGAGAACAAUGGGGAGUCUGACAACUUGGUACUUGGGAUGCAAGCGUGACAUUUCGAAAGCAAGUGGAUGGUAAUACCGAUGGACAUCAUGCAGGUGUCGUAGAUGAAUAGCUGAUCUACCUGUGAUGAUCUACAUGUGACGACAACAGCAAUACAACAAAGACUCACCCGCCUACCUCUGUGGAAUUAUCUAAACAGUUUCAAUGAGAAAUGGACGUCCAUGAGUGAUGAGAACUACCAGAAACUCAACUUAUAUCAUGGCGUGUCAGCUUCAUGUGGGUGAAAAGUGAUGUAGGUGCUUGACGUGAUCACUUUGGUGAAACUGACGAUCAAGUUACAGAUGACAAACCUGGGAACAUUAUCAAAGUUAUCCAGGAUUCGAACCCACGAUCAUAGAUUUCUGUCACGCGUAAGGUAUUCAACUCUACUCAACGCCUUAGACGACUGUGCCACCCGUGCCUUUUCAGAGGGAAGCGAGAGUUAGAGCAGUAUGACCGAUAAUAAACACUGUCAGUGGGCGUUUAUAAAGACAUACGUCUUCCACUUUUUAUUUGUUUGUGAAAUAAGACAAGCUGGUGCUGAACGUGUUUGAGGUAUUUAAAUGAACUGCAAUAAUUAAAAGCAACAGUAAAAUAUAUGUUGUAUAAUUAUUAAUUAAGUAAAUAAAUAGAAAUUCAUAUGCAUUCUCGUUAACUCAAUUGCUCGAGUUAGAUGGCUUUUUAUGAAAAUAAUUAAGGAUUAUUUUUUAAAUGUAUGGCAUUCGAAAGUGGAAGAAGUCUUAGUUAUUAGUUUGUUUCUUAUUCACUAUCUCAAGUCUUUGAAUUGACCUGGAAAUAAAAAGAAAUCUUGUCAGUC
rnacentral:lncRNA from 1 species